GCUGGGCGUUGUGGUGGGCACCUGUGGUCCCAGCUACUUGGGAGGCUGAGGCAGGAGACUCGCUUGAGCCCAGGAGUUGGAGGUUGCUGUGAGCAGUGAAGCCAUAGCACUCUACCUAGGGGCUCAGCUUGAGGCUCUGUCUCAAAAAAAAAAAAGAAACAGAGUCUCACUUUAUUGCCCUCGGUAGAGUGCUGUGGUGUUAUAGCUCACAGCAACCUCCAACUCCUGGGCUUAGGCAAUUCUCUUGCC
rnacentral:sRNA from 1 species